rnacentral:rRNA from 1 species
AUGCGGUCGAUGGCAGCGGCUGGACGAGGAGCAUGGCGGCGACCGGGGCUGCUGGACAGUAGGGGCUCGCCGUGGUGGUCCAUGCCUGGGAAGAGGGCGACAUCUUCUGGCGACAAGCUGCAGGCCUACAAAGUUUAUAGAGGAGGAUUGCAGGUGUCGAUACAAUGGAGCAAUUUUUGGCUUUGUUGUUGGAGCAUAGCCUCGAUUAUGCAUGAUUUUGGGCAAUUGGAUGUUAAUGUGCUAUGGGCAGCGGCGGUGCAUCAAGUUGCAAGGCAGCAGCGACAUGUUCAUAGUAUGCUAAAGGAUGAAAUCCUACUUUUUCUGAUGCUAGCUCCUUGCUGCAGAUGUACAAGCCUGCUUACAUCUCCCAGGAUAUACUCUUGGUCAAGGCAAUUGCACUUGAUGAAGCCACUCAUUUUAGGAUAUGCAUUGUUAAACAUGAGUGCUUGCUCGCCGAACAUUGGCCCUCGGAUGAAUUCGACGCUUGAAUCGAGCUAA